UACGGAGGGUGCAAGCGUUAUCCGGAUUCACUGGGUUAAAGGGAGCGCAGGCGGAUUUGUAAGUCAGUGGUGAAAGGCUUAAGCUUAACUUGGGAACUGCCAUUGAUACUAUAAGUCUUGAAUGUUGUUGAGGUUUGCGGAAUGGGUCAUGUAGCGGUGAAAUGCAUAGAUAUGACCCGGAACACCUAUUGCGAAGGCAGCAGGCUAAACAAAUAUUGACGCUGAGGCUCGAAAGCGUGGGGAUCAAACAGG
rnacentral:rRNA from 1 species